rnacentral:rRNA from 1 species
GGCGAACGCUGGCGGCGUGCUUAACACAUGCAAGUCGAACGAUGAAGCCUAGCUUGCUAGGUGGAUUAGUGGCGAACGGGUGAGUAAUACGUGAGUGACCUACCUUUGACUCUGGGAUAAGCCUGGGAAACUGGGUCUAAUACCGGAUACGACCAAUCUCCGCAUGGGGUGUUGGUGGAAAGCGUUAUGGAGUGGUUUUAGAUGGGCUCACGGCCUAUCAGCUUGUUGGUGAGGUAAUGGCUUACCAAGGCGACGACGGGUAGCCGGCCUGAGAGGGUGACCGGCCACACUGGGACUGAGACACGGCCCAGACUCCUACGGGAGGCAGCAGUGGGGAAUAUUGCACAAUGGGCGCAAGCCUGAUGCAGCGACGCCGCGUGAGGGAUGACGGCCUUCGGGUUGUAAACCUCUGUUAGCAUCGAAGAAGCGAAAGUGACGGUAGGUGCAGAGAAAGCGCCGGCUAACUACGUG